rnacentral:rRNA from 1 species
CCUACGGGGGGCAGCAGUGGGGGAUAUUGCACAAUGGGGGGAACCCUGAUGCAGCGACGCCGCGUGAAGGAAGAAGUAUCUCGGUAUGUAAACUUCUAUCAGCAGGGAAGAAAAUGACGGUACCUGACUAAGAAGCCCCGGCUAACUACGUGCCAGCAGCCGCGGUAAUACGUAGGGGGCAAGCGUCAUCCGGAUUUACUGGGUGUAAAGGGAGCGUAGACGGUUAAUCAAGUCAGAAGUGAAAACCCAGGGCUCAACCUUGGGACUGCUUUUGAAACUGAGUAGCUAGAGUGCAGGAGAGGUAA